CCGGUUGAUCCUGCCAGAGGUUACUGCUAUCGAGGUUCGACUAAGCCAUGCGAGUCGAAUGUAGCAAUACAUGGCGAACUGCUCAGUAACACGUGGACAACCUGCCCUUAGGACGGGGAUAAACCCGGGAAACUGGGUAUAAUACCCGAUAGGUCUCGAUUGCUGGAAUGCAUCGAGAUUUAAAGCUCCGGCGCCUAAGGAUGGGUCUGCGGCCUAUCAGGUAGUAGUGGGUGUAGCGUACCUACUAGCCUACGACGGGUACGGGUUGUGAGAGCAAGAGCCCGGAGAUGGAUUCUGAGACACGAAUCCAGGCCUUACGGGGUGCAGCAGGCGCGAAAACUUUACAAUGCUGGCAACAGCGAUAAGGGAACCUCGAGUGCCAGGUUACAAAUCUGGCUGUCGAGAUGCCUAAAAAGCAUUUCAUAGCAAGGGCCGGGCAAGACCGGUGCCAGCCGCCGCGGUAACACCGGCGGCUCGAGUGGUAACCGUUAUUAUUGGGUCUAAAGGGUCUGUAGCCGGCCGGAUAAGUCUCUUGAGAAAUCUGGCAGCUUAACUGUCAGGCUUUCAGGAGAUACUGUCUGGCUCGAGGCCGGGAGAGGUGAGAGGUACUUCAGGGGUAGGGGUGAAAUCUUGUAAUCCUUGAAGGACCACCAGUGGCGAAGGCGUCUCACCAGAACGGACCUGACGGCAAGGGACGAAAGCUAGGGGCACGAACCGGAUUAGAUACCCGGGUAGUCCUAGCCGUAAACGAUACUCGCUAGGUGUCGGCCACGGUGCGACCGUUGUCGGUGCCGUAGGGAAGCCGUGAAGCGAGCCACCUGGGAAGUACGGCCGCAAGGCUGAAACUUAAAGGAAUUGGCGGGGGAGCACCACAACGGGUGGAGCUUGCGGUUUAAUUGGAUUCAACGCCGGAAAUCUUACCGGGACCGACAGCAAUAUGAAGGCCAGGCUGAAGACUUUGCCGGAUUAGCUGAGAGGUGGUGCAUGGCCGUCGUCAGUUCGUACUGUGAAGCAUCCUGUUAAGUCAGGUAACGAGCGAGACCC
rnacentral:rRNA from 1 species